AUUGAACGCUGGCGGUAUGCUUUACACAUGCAAGUCGAACGGCAACACACUGAAAGGUUGCGAUGAGUGGUGGCGGGUGGCGUACUGGUUAGGAAUGCGUCCGAAUCUAGGGGUUCAUUGCUCGUAAGGGUGGGAAACUCACGCUACUACCUCAGACUGCAUGCGGGGGAAAGCAGGGGAUCUUCGGACCUGGCGCGAUUGAAUGAGCCGAUGUCGGAUUAGGUAGUUGGCGGGGUAAAGGCCCACCAAGGCGACGAUCCGUAGCUGGUCUGAGAGGACGAUCAGCCACACUGGGACUGAGACACGGCCCAGACUCCUACGGGAGGCAGCAGUGGGGAAUAUUGGACAAUGGGCGCAAGCCUGAUCCAGCAAUACCGCGUGGAUGAAGAAGGCCUUCGGGUUGUAAACUGCUUUUGUUGGGAACGAAACGGCUCUGGUUAAUACCCCGCUCUAAUGACGGUACCGAAAGAAUAAGCACCGGCUAACUACGUG
rnacentral:rRNA from 1 species